rnacentral:rRNA from 1 species
CCAAAAACGGUUAAUCCUUUAAAGGCCAUUUGUUCCUGUGAUACCUUUAUAUGUUGUAUAUCAUCAUGGAAUUUACUGAUAAACCAGUUGAGAAAAUUUUUAAUCUAAGAAAUUAGGAAUAUGUUGCCAACCUUAUAAACGACUAUUAAAGUGCCAGCAGUCGCGGUCAUACUUUAGUUAAAAUAAAGACAAUUAGGACAUGUAUAAGUAAAUUGCCUCCUGUAGUGAAAUACGGUUAAUAUACUUUAAUACUUAAAAUUCAACUAGUACUGAUAACAAACAGGGAUUAGAUACCCCUCUAUGCAGUAAGUAAACCACGUCCUGGGCAUUACAAUUAACAAAUUGAAACCCAACGAACAUGGCGGUAGUUUAAAUAUUUAGGGGAACUUACUAUGUAAAUGAUAACCACCAAGAAUAUGUACGUUAAGUAAAAUUUUACAUACCGUCGUCGUCAGAUAUUCUACGAUAGAAUAUCACAAUAUAUAACACUAUAAAAGGACAGAUCAAGGUGUAGACCACCUUCACGUUUAAGCGAGUUACAAUAUUUUUUAUUUUCGUAACCUAGUUUAUAGCUACUUACAGUCGGACUUAAAAGUAAUAGUUAUAGAAAAUACAGUAUGAAUAUUUUUAAUCUGUGC